UAUAAAAUUCCACCUAUAUAGAUAAAGAAUUUGAGAUUGGAUCAUUUUCUCGACACAAUAUUAACCAAUUACAGUUCAAUAUUAUUAUAAUAUUAAGCAGUUUUUGAUAGUUUUGGAUAUUUCUCUAAGAAGGCAGUUUUAUUUUUACGUGCUCGAACAUAAUGAUAAUUUACAAUGUUUUACAUAAAGAACACCCUUCGUAAAUUUGUUUUUUAAACAAAUGAUAUUUUUCUUCAUAAUACUUAAUAAUAUAAAGACAAGGGCAACGCGUGCUAGGUUAUAGUAGACAUUUUCGAGCUUAAGUAUAAAAUUCUGAAAAAUAGAAACGGUACAUAGAGGUCCUUGACAAGAUAAAUCGUUUUUCAUUAAACGAGCGCACAUCAUUAAAGCGAUGAGUUUCAUAGACGUUCUGCUUU